UACUAGAGUAGCACUCGCAUAUCAAUAAGCGGAGGAAAAGAAACUAACAAGGAUUCCCCUAGUAACGGCGAGUGAAGCGGGAAGAGCUCAAAUUUGAAAUCUUAAAGGGUUUCCCUUUACGAAUUGUAGUUUAAAGAAGUGUUUUCUGUUGAGGUUUUGGUAAAAGUUCUUUGGAAUAGGACAUCAUAGAGGGUGAGAAUCCCGUAUUUGACCUUUACUUUCAACUUUGUGAUACACUUUCAAAGAGUCGGAUUGUUUGGGAAUGCAGUCCAAAAUGGGUGGUAAAUUUCAUCUAAAGCUAAAUAUUGGCGAGAGACCGAUAGCGAACAAGUACCGUGAGGGAAAGAUGAAAAGAACUUUGAGAAGAGAGUUAAACAGUACGUGAAAUUGUCAAAAGGGAAGCGUUUGACACCAGUGUUGUUUUUCUGAAAAUCAAUUAAAGAACUGUUUAUGCUAAGCUGUUUAGACUUUAUCAGCUAUCUGUUUAGUUUUAGGCUUUUCUUUAAUGCACUUUUCAGUUAACAAGUCAACAUCAAUUUCUUUUGCUGUAAAAAAGCUUGAGGAAGGUGGCUUGAGAUUCGUCUUAAGUGUUUAUAGCCUCUUGCCUAUGCAGUCGGAGAGAUUGAGGUCUGCAGCGUAGAUCCUUCGGGGCUAAAUGCAUUUGUGCUAAGUUAUAGCAUUUUAUAGACAACUUGUUGACUAUGAUUUGUCUUGUAGCUUACUCGCUUAUGUUAUUUUACCUACGCUUAGGAUGUUGAGCGCAUGUCUCUCUCU
rnacentral:rRNA from 1 species